rnacentral:snRNA from 1 species
GGAUGUGAGGGCAAUCUGACUGUGACAUCUGUCACCCCAUUGAGCUCCAUGGUUGAUUUGGCUGAUCUGGCCACUAGGCAGGUGUCCCCUUCCUCCCUCAACACUCCAUGUACGUCCUUUCUGAAGCUGAACACUCACUCGAAGACGACCUUCUCUGAUAGAGGAGGACCAUUCUCCAGUCAAGGGCAUAGGGGGAGUGCUAGAAACUCAAGACAAGCUCUCAAGAACAUUUGUAAUGAUUUUUAGGGCUUCCCAAAUCAUACAAGAUACUCUUCUCACUCUGGAUCCUUGGUUGAGUUGUG